CAAAUGAAUUGACGGGACCCGCACAAGCAGCGGAGCGUGUGGUUUAAUUCGUUGCUACACGAAGAACCUUACCUGGGUUUGACAUAUAGGUUGUAGGGAACUGAAAAGGGACCGACCCUUCGGGGAGCCUAUACAGGUGUUGCAUGGCUGUCGUCAGCUCGUGUCGUGAGAUGUUCGGUUAAGUCCGCUAACGAGCGCAACCCUCGUCGUAUGUUAUAUGUGUCAUACGAGACUGCCGGUAAAAGCCGGAGGAAGGUGAGGAUGAUGUCAAGUCAGCAUGACCUUUAUAUCCAGGGCUACACACACGCUACAAUGGUCUGUACAAUGGGUAGCCAAGCCGCGAGGCGGAGCCAAUCCUGAAAGCAGGCCUCAGUUCAGAUUGCAGUCUGCAACUCGACUGCAUGAAGCCGGAGUUGCUAGUAACCGCAGGUCAGCAAUACUGCGGUGAAUACGUUCCCGGGUCUU
rnacentral:rRNA from 1 species